GCUCGACGGGGGUUCGUGCGCUGCCGCUCUGCGAGCCGCGGUGCGACGCCGAAAAUGCGUCGGCGUAGUUGCCGUGCGGUGACGUCACGCCGCCCCUGCGAACGAUUCCCUUGUGGAGCCUUCAAGCACUGCUAACGUCGUUACUCUCUCGCCUGCCUGCAGUUCCCGUGAGGCCUCUAACAUGACUUCAGCGGGCAUCGCAACACAGGAGAGCAGAGACCAAGCUGACAGUGGAGAGGGCUCCCAUUAUGCGUUUCGAUCACUCGACUUCUAUUCGCCUCGUCCCUGUAAAGGAAGUACAAGCCUGGAAGUGGGGCUACCGUUAAGGAAAGCGAAGCGGUCGUUAUCCAACUUGUACGGAAGGGACUGACCAACAAGAAGCUGCCAAAACUCCCUCUUCACUUACGACUUCGUUUCUCUUUCUAGAAAUGAAGUUAAGAAUACCAACUAGCAGUUUAUAGUAUUAAAACUACGACGACUGUUUACAAGUCACAGCUCACCCAAAUGUUCUCUGUCGCAGGUAAAGUUAUCGAGCGGAGCUGGACUUCUCUGACAUACGAGAUGCUGGCUGGCUCUCGCCACUAUUCUUCGUCUCCGCCUGUGCCAGAAUGUAAUUGCUUCAGGUGUGAUCCUUGAAGGAGAAAGAGGUUACACAUCACAGAAGAGGGUACACCUUCAUAAAAAAAAGGAUGGUAAGCAUUCACCAAUCAAGUUCACCAUCAAGCGGCUGUAGGAAAAGUUCUAGAACACAGGAAAUAUGGAAGAUGUAGGAAAAGUGCUCAGUCAAAUGUGCUAAACACCAGAAAAAUUGAUCUCACGCAUGCUGCACGUUCUCUGAGUCCUAUGAUGAUGUGUGACAUCUUUCAAAUCAGUCUGGUCUUUAUGGUGUUAAUCUACAAACGACGUUGGCAGAAAUGUUGAAUGCGUCCGUACAUAAUUCGAGCUGUUUAAUAAGUUGUUUUGGUGUUAUAACUUGCACGUUAUGAAAGUAUUCCAUUUGCUGCAUUGAAAAGUGAUCAAAAACGCGUUGUUAUUGGUACGAUUUGUUAUAAUUAAAUGUUAGUUAAUGACAUAUAGGUGGUUAAAGUCUCAAGGACAUCGUAACAUCUCCUAAAAUA